CCCUUAGAUGUUCUGGGCUGCACGCGCGCUACACUGAUGCACUCAACGAGUUUACGACCUUGUCCGAGAGGAUUGGGUAAUCUUUUUAAAAUGCAUCGUGAUGGGGAUAGAUUAUUGCAAUUAUUAAUCUUCAACGAGGAAUGCCUAGUAGGCGCAAGUCAUCAGCUUGCGUCGAUUACGUCCCUGCCCUUUGUACACACCGCCCGUCGCUCCUACCGAUUGGGUGUGCUGGUGAAAUGUUCGGAUCGGCCGUUUGUCGCGGUUUCCGCGUCAUGUGGCUGAGAAGUUCAUUAAACCCUCCCACCUAGAGGAAGGAGAAGUCGUAACA
rnacentral:rRNA from 1 species